AGCCUCCCCACUCCGGCUGCACACGCCACACCAGCAGGGCCCUUCCCGGGUGUGUUCGCACAAUGGCCAUAAACAGCGCUCAGGGCAUACCUGGGGGAGGGGGGUGUUCCCUGACUAAGGCUCACCCGAUGCUCUCUCCACCGGGGCAGUGGCGCUCAAGGAGUGGCUGACCCAAAGGUCACUGCGUUAUUGGAGACAGGCUGGAAAUGUGUCUGUUUGUUUUGUACUAAGGACAUUCGCUGGCACUUACAGAGCGAUUGCUUGCGGCAGGCAUUGUGCUGAGCAUUUUAGAUGCACCCUCUUUCGUGAUUUAUUCAUCGCUGCAACAAGUGUGUUUUGAGCCCCUCUUGCCAGACACCUGCUCGAUGUGGAGAUAAACCACCAGGGAGCGUCGCUGCCCUCGUGGAGGUCACGGUCGGCUGCAGAAAAGAGACGACAGACAGACAUACAAAUUAAUGAGCAUCAUUGGAGCCCGAGACACGGACUGGGAUGAAAUGAACAAGGCAAUGAGACAGACUGCGAGCGGGCAUACACAACGCUAGAGCUCCGUGGGGACACUGCCCGAAGCCCCGUCCUGGCUCGCCUCUCCACGACCCCCACCGCACCCCGUUUCUCAGCGAGCAGGCAGCCAUGGUCCGCGCAGUCUGCAAGUUUACCCUUCAAGGGGUAGCAGGGAGGCCCUGUCCUCAGCCUCCUCCGUGCUCCUGGGCUGGGCUGCAGGAGGGACGAGGGGCACGGGACCUCCCAGGUUGGGGAGCCAAAGGCUGAUCCUGGGAGAAAGCAGCAAGCCAGCGUUGGUGGUUGAUGGCCAGUAUGGGCUUGGAAUCAGGCAGACCGCCGGUCUGCUGUCCGCACUCUAACCUCUUGUCUGUAAAGUGGGAAUGAUAAUAAUGGUACUUGCUUAGUCAGAUCGCGUCACAAAGACCGGAGGCGGUUCCUGGCCCCAGUGGUCCAAAGCCCCUCCCUUCUGAACGUGGCCGUCCAGGUCUCUGGAGAUGCUGGGCGCUGGUUGGCUUAGCGCAGAACUCCUGAACCAAACAACUGACUCAGAGCCGAGGGGCUGGUCCACCUGACUGUCCACAGCAUCCAGCACAGGGCUCAGCAGGGGUGGGACCUUCGAGAGGGCUUGCUAAAUAAAUGCGGAAUGGUGCCACACUUCUGUAAGCUCAGAGUCGUGAGAGAGCAGCCAUCAGUUAAAUAAACAAACCUUCGGACUAGGGUUUCUCAGGAGAACGUCUGGAAUCGCUAGGGGAAGCGGGGUGGGCUGAAUUAUCUCCCCGAAAGACAUGCAGCUCGCAAUGCCUGGAACCUGUCAAUGUUCCCUUCCGAGGAGCACGGGGCAUCAAAGGGGUGAUUAAAGUAAGGGUCUCAGAGAGGGAAAGAAUAGCCUGGCUUGUCUGGACCAGCCCUGGAUGUAAUCCCGAGGAAGCAGAGGGAGCUUUGACACAGCGGAUGUGAGGGCGGAGGCUGGAGUGAUGUGGCCGCGAGCCAAGGGAAGCCCCAGCCCCACCAGCACCUUGAUUUUGCCCCCACACCCACCCCUGUCCUCCACGGAGACCCAGCUUGGGGCGUGGCCUUCAGGACUGUGAGAGAUUAGGGGCGCCUGAAGCUCGCUCGGUUGGUCGGUUGGUCGAGUGUCUGGCUCCUGGUUUCGGCUCAGGUCAUGAUCU